GGCCUUACAAAGGCAAAAGAGAAGGGCACAUAAUGCUAAUCGGUUAGCAAUCAUUAUCGCCUUCUUAAAAUGAUUCAUCGCUCAACCCUCCCAACAGACAAUGGGGUGGAUGGAAACAUGGCACUCUGCAAAUGGAAUUAGAAUAGCGUGAAAGAGAUGGAGAUAGUAAGAGAGGAAUCUUUUCUUGGAUUAAGACAUAGGAGAGGCCCUCCAAGACGUCCUUAAAAAGAAAAUUGGCCCUUGCAAUUAGGGAGUGUUUGAUAACAGGAAGACAUUUCGUUGAGAAGUUCUCAGUACUGUUCAAGUUCCGUGUUUGAUAAAAAAAAGGAACUUCGUAUCACAACUUUCCAUCUUCCCGUCUCGCGUUAAAAAAAAGUUAUGUCCUAAAGGUCGGAACUCAAAAUAGGAAGUUUGUUACUUCAUACCCUUUCGAUAACCCUUGGCUCUUUACACGCCAUCACCGCUGAGAACCCCUUCUCCGCUGAGUACGCGUUCUCCGUUGAGGACGCCUUCGCCGUUGAGCACCCAUUCGCUGCUAAGCACCCCUCUCUUCGCAGCACGAACCCUCUGUUCUUCGAGUUUACCCGUUGAUCUAAGGAUGGAUCCAAACACAUCAUCAAGCAUAGCGAUUGAGAUUAUACGAUCCAAGAGGAACUUGCAAUGGACACAGGCAGAAGAUGAUCAUUUCAUUGAACUUAUGGAAAAGGAGAGUAGAGUUGUAUCCAAAGCAAGCGAGGGGGGGGUUUAAAAAGGUUCCUGGAAACAGAUGGUAGAAGCAAUGGCAAUUAAGUUUGGGCCAAUAAAAAAAAAAGUAGGUUAAAGAGCAAGUACAAGUUCUUCAAAAUCAUGUACAGUGACAUAACAAAACUUAUGAAUGUAUCCAAGUUUGGAUGGGAUGAAAGGAGGAAGAUAGUAACAGCCGAGAGUGCAGUUUGGAUUGACUUCUAAGCGGAGAAUGAAUGGGCAAAUAAAUAUCAUAACAAGACUUUGCCCCUAAUAUUCACUGCUAAGUAAGAUCUAUGAAGGCAACACAACAGAUGUGACAUACAAAUCGACUGGGGGUGGCAUUACCAUUGAGCCAGAAAGGCCCGAAACUGCAUUCUCUAAUGACCCUCCCCGCAGAAGUCCAGGUCCAAUCUAGCUCAUCCUCAUCUGAUGACCAAGUAUCAUUUGGAUCAAAAAGAUGACGGACCCAUACUCCGAUAGGAACACAAUGCCAAUCAAAGGAACCCACCUUCGAUGACUCCAUGACUAAAGUUAUGAUAGAGGUGGCCGAAAGCAUUAAGAUGCUAGCACGUGAAACUGCAGGUAACAACAGUACUCCUAUGGUAGAUGGUCCAUCCAAGGUUAGGAGAGACGCCUUUAAGAUUGUUGAAGACACGUGGAGAGCAAUUGAAGUUGGUGAUAAUGCCUUUGUAAUGGCGGCAAGGAUCUUUCAAGAUUCUACAAAGACAGAGAUAUUAUUAAACUUACCGCAUCAAAAGAUACGACAGGCUUACUUGGACGAAUACCUCUAAAUACUUGAUUGACUAUGUUUACUUUAUGGUUUCCAUGGUAUAAAUAUGUAUGUGGACGACUUCUU